rnacentral:rRNA from 1 species
AUGCACGCUGGCGGCGUGCCUAAUCCAUGCCAGUCGAGCGAACAGACGAGGAGCUUGCUCCUCUGACGUUAGCGGCGGACGGGUGAGUAACACGUGGAUAACCUACCUAUAAGACUGGGAUAACUUCGGGAAACCGGAGCUAAUACCGGAUAAUAUAUUGAACCGCAUGGUUCAAUAGUGAAAGACGGUUUUGCUGUCACUUAUAGAUGGAUCCGCGCCGCAUUAGCUAGUUGGUAAGGUAACGGCUUACCAAGGCAACGAUGCGUAGCCGACCUGAGAGGGUGAUCGGCCACACUGGAACUGAGACACGGUCCAGACUCCUACGGGAGGCAGCAGUAGGGAAUCUUCCGCAAUGGGCGAAAGCUUGACGGAGCAACGCCGCGUGAGUGAUGAAGGUCUUCGGAUCGUAAAACUCUGUUAUUAGGGAAGAACAAAUGUGUAAGUAACUAUGCACGUCUUGACGGUACCUAAUCAGAAAGCCACGGCUAACUACGUG